rnacentral:rRNA from 1 species
CCUACGGGUGGCAGCAGUGAGGAAUAUUGGUCAAUGGACGAGAGUCUGAACCAGCCAAGUAGCGUGAAGGAUGACUGCCCUAUGGGUUGUAAACUUCUUUUAUAUGGGAAUAAAAUGUUCCACGUGUGGGAUUUUGUAUGUACCAUAUGAAUAAGGAACGGCUAACUCCGUGCCAGCAGCCGCGGUAAUACGGAGGAUCCGAGAGUUAUCCGGAUUUAGUGGGUUUAAAGGGAGCGUAGGUGGAUUGUUAAGUCAGUUGUGAAAGUUUGCGGCUUAACCGUAAAAUUGCAGUUGAAACUGGACGUCUUGAGUACAGUAGAGGUAGGCGGAAUUCGUGGUGUAGCGGUGAAAUGCUUAGAUAUCACGAAGAACUCCGAUUGCGAAGGCAGUUCACUGGACUGCAACUGACACUGAGGCUCGAAAGUGUGGGUAUCAAACAGGAUUAGAUACCCUUGUAGUC